CACUGAUUCAACCCUCCGGCUCUGCAAUUAUAUCCAUCAAAUGAAGCAAUGCACCUUCGCUUACUCUCUCCU